AUGCAGCUGACGAGUCCCAAAUAGGACGAAACGCGCGUCGAAACUGGAU
rfam:Schistosoma mansoni strain Puerto Rico chromosome 4, complete genome